AGAGUUUGAUUCUGGCUCAGGAUGAACGCUAGCGGUGCGCCUAACACAUGCAAGUCGAGCGAGAAAGUCUGAACCCGCAAGGGGGAGGGCGAGUAAAGCGGCGAACGGGUGAGUAACACGUAACGAACCUACCUUCGCGUUGGGGACAACCACAGGAAACUGAGGCUAAUACCCAAUGGUCUCUUUUCUCAUAAGAGGAACGAGUAAAGACGCUUUUGUGUCACGCGAAGAGGGUGUUGCGGCCUAUCAGCUUGUUGGUGAGGUAACGGCUUACCAAGGCUAUGACGGGUAGGGGGUCUGAGAGGAUGGCCCCCCACAUGGGGACUGAGACACGGCCCUGACUCCUACGGGAGGCAGCAGUGGGGAAUCUUCGUCAAUGGGCGAAAGCCUGAACGAGCGACACCGCGUGAGGGAUGAAGCCCUUCGGGGUGUAAACCUCUUUUCUGGGGGAAGAAUAAGUGCAGGAAUGGAAUGCCUGCAUGAUGACGGUACCCCAGGAAUAAGGGACGGCUAACUCUGUGCCAGCAGCCGCGGUAAU
rnacentral:rRNA from 1 species